GGCGACCGGGUGAGUAACACGUGACUAACCUACCCUAGAGUGGGGGAUAACCUCGGGAAACCGGGGCUAAUACCGCAUAACAUCACGAGGGGAAGAUCCUCGUGAUCAAAGGAGCAAUUCGCUCAAGGGGGGGGUCGCGGCUGAUUAGCUAGUUGGUGGGGUAACGGCCCACCAAGGCGAAGAUCAGUAGCCGGCCUGAGAGGGCGCACGGCCACACUGGAACUGAAACACGGUCCAGACUCCUACGGGAGGCAGCAGUGGGGAAUUUUGCGCAAUGGGGGAAACCCUGACGCAGCAACGCCGCGUGGAGGAUGAAGUCCCUUGGGAUGUAAACUCCUUUCGAUCGGGACGAUAAUGACGGUACCGGAAGAAGAAGCACCGGCUAACUCUGUGCCAGCAGCCGCGG
rnacentral:rRNA from 1 species